rnacentral:rRNA from 1 species
GAUGAACGCUGGCGGCGUGCCUAAUACAUGCAAGUCGAGCGAACAGACGAGGAGCUUGCUCCUCUGACGUUAGCGGCGGACGGGUGAGUAACACGUGGAUAACCUACCUAUAAGACUGGGAUAACUUCGGGAAACCGGAGCUAAUACCGGAUAAUAUAUUGAACCGCAUGGUUCAAUAGUGAAAGACGGUUUUGCUGUCACUUAUAGAUGGAUCCGCGCCGCAUUAGCUAGUUGGUAAGGUAACGGCUCACCAAGGCAACGAUGCGUAGCCGACCUGAGAGGGUGAUCGGCCACACUGGAACUGAGACACGGUCCAGACUCCUACGGGAGGCAGCAGUAGGGAAUCUUCCGCAAUGGGCGAAAGCCUGACGGAGCAACGCCGCGUGAGUGAUGAAGGCCUUCGGAUCGUAAAACUCUGUUAUUAGGGAAGAACAAAUGUGUAAGUAACUAUGCACGUCUUGACGGUACCUAAUCAGAAAGCCACGGCUAACUACGUG